rnacentral:lncRNA from 1 species
UAUAUUUUAUCUCUUUCCAUCAUUGAAACCUAACUAAUAACAUACUCAAUUUCUUCUUUACCCCUUUUUUUCCAUCAUUAUCAUCUUUUUUUCUUACAUUAAUAUUUUUUUUAUCUCUUUUAAUUUUUUUCACUUUUCAAAUAUAAUUUUUAUUGAGAAGAAAAAAGAGACCUCAUACCCAACAACCAUUAGAGGAAAAUUUGAAAAUGAAAGAAGGUGAAUUAUUUUAUAUUGUAGUGGAUGGUGUUGGAUUUUCUUUCAGUGAAGUUCAUUGUUAUUUAUGAAAUUUGAAUUUAAAUUUAUAUUGAUGAAGCCAUCGUUGAAAAACUUGAAGGACCACCACUGCUACACAAUCACUGUCGACUAUCUAUGGUUGAUGAAAUCCCACCAGCAUCGUCAUCACCUCCGUAACUCCGUCCACUAUGGUCAAUACAUCUCCACCAUCUCACCUUCAAACCACCACACCAUCAUAGUAGCUCCAACAAGUGGUCGAAAAUUGAACUCACCCUCCAUUCAUCUCUUCUCCUUUCCAACAAAUCAGCAUAUCGGAUGAAUCGUCCAUAAUCAAUAACCGAUAGAAGUCGUUUAUUUCAUUUUGGUUCCUGUUCAAGCUUCAAGAUUGUGAUUUUUUUAAGAAGGAUUCAAGCUUCAAGAAUGUAAUUUUUAUAUGGAUUCUCAUGAAUCCAGCCCUGAUCUGGGAAUGUGUUUUUGGAUUUAUUUUGUGACAUAUGAAAGGGAAAUUAGUAGAGUUUUAUGACAAGAUUUGGAUGUGGAAAAAAGAUGAUGUUACAUAUAUGUGAUUACGGAUAAGGUUCACAAUAAUUCUGCUUUUGUUCUAACAUCUAGUUGGGAAAUUUCUACUGCUCCACCAUGGCAGACAGUGGAGGCCAUGGCUGCUCCAUUCUUUUUUUUUUUUUUUUAAUUCUAUGUGACUUUUUUUUGAUUGGUUGUCUUUUUCAUUUUUUUUUUCAAUUUUGGAUUAAUUAUGGCUUCUCACUCUCCAAGUGGAGAGUGCACUGCACAUGCCAUGUCAUGUCAGCAAUUGUGCUCAAUUGAAAUCAUUUGUGAAGGAAUAAAGGGUUCAAUAAGUACAUUAUUUAAUUGAGCUGUCUAUACGGAA